rnacentral:pre_miRNA from 1 species
AAAGGAAUAGCUGGGUCAAAUGGUGGUUUUAUUUCCAGUUUUCCAAGGAAUCUUCAUACUGCUUUCCAUAUUGGCUGCACCAAUUUGCAGUUCCACCAGCAGU